UUGCUCCCUGAGAUUAGCGGCGGACGGGUGAGUAACACGUGGGCAACCUGCCUAUAAGACUGGGAUAACUUCGGGAAACCGGAGCUAAUACCGGAUACGUUCUUUUCUCGCAUGAGAGAAGAUGGAAAGACGGUUUACGCUGUCACUUAUAGAUGGGCCCGCGGCGCAUUAGCUAGUUGGUGAGGUAAUGGCUCACCAAGGCGACGAUGCGUAGCCGACCUGAGAGGGUGAUCGGCCACACUGGGACUGAGACACGGCCCAGACUCCUACGGGAGGCAGCAGUAGGGAAUCUUCCGCAAUGGACGAAAGUCUGACGGAGCAACGCCGCGUGAACGAAGAAGGCCUUCGGGUCGUAAAGUUCUGUUGUUAGGGAAGAACAAGUACCAGAGUAACUGCUGGUACCUUGACGGUACCUAACCAGAAAGCCACGGCUAACUACGUGCCAGCAGCCGCGGUAAUAC
rnacentral:rRNA from 2 species